rnacentral:rRNA from 1 species
UUCCAGACUCCUACGGGAGGCAGCAGUGAGGAAUAUUGGUCAAUGGGCUUACGCCUGAACCAGCCAAGUCGCGUGAGGGAAGACUGCCCUAUGGGUUGUAAACCUCUUUUGUCAGGGAGCAACGCCGGCUACGUGUAGCCGGACUGAGAGUACCUGAAGAAAAAGCAUCGGCUAACUCCGUGCCAGCAGCCGCGGUAAUACGGAGGAUGCGAGCGUUAUCCGGAUUUAUUGGGUUUAAAGGGUGCGUAGGCGGAAUGCCAAGUCAGCGGUAAAAUCGCGGGGCUCAACCUCGCUCCGCCGUUGAAACUGGCGGCCUCGAGUGGGCGAGAAGUAUGCGGAAUGCGUGGUGUAGCGGUGAAAUGCAUAGAUAUCGCGCAGAACUCCGAUUGCGAAGGCAGCAUGCCGGCUCCACACUGACGCUGAGGCACGAAAGUGCGGGUAUCGAACAGGAUUAGAUACCCUCGUAA